AACGAACGCUGGCGGCAUGCCUAACACAUGCAAGUCGAACGAGACCUUCGGGUCUAGUGGCGCACGGGUGCGUAACGCGUGGGAACCUGCCCUUAGGUUCGGAAUAACUCACCGAAAGGGGUGCUAAUACCGGAUAAUGUCUUCGGACCAAAGAUUUAUCGCCUUUGGAUGGGCCCGCGUUGGAUUAGCUAGUUGGUAGGGUAAAAGCCUACCAAGGCGACGAUCCAUAGCUGGUCUGAGAGGAUGAUCAGCCACACUGGGACUGAGACACGGCCCAGACUCCUACGGGAGGCAGCAGUGGGGAAUAUUGGACAAUGAGCGAAAGCCUGAUCCAGCAAUGCCGCGUGAGUGAUGAAGGCCUUAGGGUUGUAAAGCUCUUUUACCCGGGAUGAUAAUGACAGUACCGGGAGAAUAAGCUCCGGCUAACUACGUG
rnacentral:rRNA from 1 species